rnacentral:rRNA from 1 species
AUACGUAGGGGGCGAGCGUUGUCCGGAAUGACUGGGCGUAAAGGGCGUGUAGGCGGUUGAAUAAGUCUGGAGUGAAAGUCCCGGUUUCAAGUUGGGAACUGCUUUGGAUACUGUUCAACUUGAGUGCGGAAGAGGUAAGUGGAAUUCCCAGUGUAGCGGUGAAAUGCGUAGAGAUUGGGAGGAACACUGGCGGCGAAGGCGGCCUGCUGGACGACAACUGACGCUGAGGCGCGAAAGCGUGGGGAGCAAACAGGAUUAGAUACCCUGGUAGUCCACGCUGUAAACGAUGAAUACUAGGUGUGGGGGGACUGACCCCCUCCGUGCCGGAGUUAACACAUUAAGUAUUCCACCUGGGGAGUACGGCCGCAAGGUUGAAACUUAAAGGAAUUGACGGGG